rnacentral:lncRNA from 1 species
GACAUCUCCAAUGCCGACCCUUAAUAUUGACGUAUUUUUUUUGUCCGUGCGGCGAUGAUGACUAGUCCAAAAACACUGAUGUGAGAGCCAGCCUUGCAACCAUAUCCGUUAAGUGUCUUUCUAUGUAUGCUCAUAUCGCACUUGAGGAGAGAGAAAUGGCGUGGUGGCUUCUAGUUUAGGAGAGUUUGAACGUCCGGACACGUUCUCCAUACGUUUAGGU